GACGAACGCUGGCGGCGUGCCUAAUACAUGCAAGUAGAACGCUGAAGGAGGAGCUUGCUUCUCUGGAUGAGUUGCGAACGGGUGAGUAACGCGUAGGUAACCUGCCUGGUAGCGGGGGAUAACUAUUGGAAACGAUAGCUAAUACCGCAUAAUAGUAGAUGUUGCAUGACAUUUGCUUAAAAGGUGCAAUUGCAUCACUACCAGAUGGACCUGCGUUGUAUUAGCUAGUUGGUGGGGUAACGGCUCACCAAGGCGACGAUACAUAGCCGACCUGAGAGGGUGAUCGGCCACACUGGGACUGAGACACGGCCCAGACCCCUACGGGAGGCAGCAGUAGGGAAUCUUCGGCAAUGGACGGAAGUCUGACCGAGCAACGCCGCGUGAGUGAAGAAGGGUUUCGGAUCGUAAAGCUCUGUUGUAAGAGAAGAACGAGUGUGAGAGUGGAAAGUUCACACUGUGACGGUAUCUGACCAGAAAGGGACGGCUAACUACGUG
rnacentral:rRNA from 1 species